rnacentral:rRNA from 1 species
GACGAACGCUGGCGGCGUGCUUAACACAUGCAAGUCGAACGGAAAGGCCCUGCUUUUGUGGGGUGCUCGAGUGGCGAACGGGUGAGUAACACGUGAGUAACCUGCCCUUGACUUUGGGAUAACUUCAGGAAACUGGGGCGAAUACCGGAUAGGAGCUCCUGCUGCAUGGUGGGGGUUGGAAAGUUUCGGCGGUUGGGGAUGGACUCGCGGCUUAUCAGCUUGUUGGUGGGGUAGUGGCUUACCAAGGGUUUGACGGGUAGCCGGCCUGAGAGGGUGACCGGGCACAUUGGGACUGCGAUACGGCCCAGACUCCUACGGGAGGCAGCAGUGGGGAAUAUUGCACAAUGGGCGGAAGCCUGAUGCAGCGACGCCGCGUGCGGGAUGACGGCCUUCGGGUUGUAAACAGCUUUCGCCUGUGACGAAGAGUGAGUGACGGUAAUGGGUAAAGAAGCAACGGCUAACUACGUG